rfam:Dipodomys ordii contig_14449, whole genome shotgun sequence.
GGUGGCUCAGUGGUAGAGUGCAUGCCUUGCAAGCAUGAGGCCCUGGGUUCAAUUCCUCAGCACCA